UUCUUGAAAGCUGCUCACACCCUGGGCAGGAGUCAGUCUUAGUCAACACACAGCAUGGACAUGAAGGCCCCUGCUCAGUUCCUGGGGCUCCUGCUGCUCGGGAUUACAGGUACCAGAUGUGACAUCCAGAUGACCCAGUCUCCAUCCACUUUGUCUGCAUCUCCUGGAGACAGAGUCACCAUCACUUGCCGGGCCAGUCAGGGCAUUAACUAUGCGUUAAACUGGUACCAGCAGAAACCAGGAGGAGCUCCAAAGCUCCUGAUCUAUGGUGCAGACAAUUUACAAUCCGGCAUCCCCUCCAGAUUUAGUGGCAGUGGAUCUGGGACAGAGUACACUCUCACCAUCAGUAGCCUGCAGCCUGAAGACAUUGCCACUUAUUACUGUCAACAGGAUUAUGAUAACCCACCCACAGUGAUACAAACCAUAACAUAAACCUCCAAGAAGCAGAAGUGUGAGCCUGGGCUGUCCCAGCUGCUUUCCUCAUGCUUCCUCUUGCAAGAGCUGUCCUAGAAUCAGGACAGGAAUCUUGCCCAGGCUAUCCUGGACCAGUGAGCUUCUGUGUCUCAAUCUUUGGAAUAAGUGUAAUUAUAGAUGUGCGAUACUGGUACUGACCUGAAUUUUGAAAUAUUAAAAUUACAUUCCAGACUAUAGACAUGGAAAUACUCUGAAUUUUUUCAGGUUUUUUAAAUCUUGAAUUGAUGUUCACAAUGUGCACAAAGAUACUUGGAAGUUAUUUCAAAACUUUUAUUUUGAGAACUUUCAAUACUUUAUGCAUGAAUUUCAUCAGCAAGUAAAGACAGUUUGCCACUUCCUUUUUCUGCUUCAGGUCUUUUGUGCUUUUUUUUCCAAUUAGUUGUAUCUUUUCUUAUUGCAUUUGGAGAACCUCAGUACAAUUUUAGGUACAGAAGGUAAUAGUGAAUAUUUCAUACUUCAAUAAAACUUGAGUGGUAAAAUGCUAAAUAACUAUAUCAAUGAGUACAAAGUUUGUUGCAGAGUUUCCCUCUUUUUUGCAAGGCAAGCGCUCUACCACUGAGCCACCUUCCCAGCCCUGCCUCUUUUUUGAAACAGGUAUUUUCCAUUAUUCCUGGCCUGCUGAUAUGUCACGGUUAGCUGUUGAUGCUAUUAGAAAUAUUUUUUCAUAUAAAUGGAGACAGCCUAUAGUUUUUCUCUUUAACUCAAUCAGAAUGAUGAACUGCAGAGAUCAGUUAUCUAAUUUUAAAAGAGAUUUCUACUUGUGGAAUAUAUUCGACUUGAUCAACAUACAUUUCCGAGAAUAAUAAGAAAAAUGAGAGAGAGAGAGAGAGAGAGAGAGACAGAGAGAGAGAGACAGAGAGAGACAGAGAGAGAAGUAAAGUAAGAGAUGGAGAUGAAUGGAAGGAGAGAAAGGAGGGGUGAAAGGAGGAUAAAUUUAGUUUAUUUCUAUUGUCUACAUCCUAGUUCCACUUAGCAAUCAAGCUGAAAUUACCAAGAGAAACACCAAAUACAAACAACACUGUUGGCACUGAGUAUCCAGCCAUUCUGUGCUCUCACCUGCAAGGUUCACUGAAGGGGAGAUGUUUCUUGAGCUUAGUCCCUCUGUCCUCCAGACCAGUUCCCACCAAGAAUCACUGAAUCACCUAGCUCACUGAAUCUUCUCUGUUUUAAGCUCAAGAAUCUACCAAUCAGCGGAACAACACUGACGUCUUUUAUUUAUAGAAAGAAAAAUGGAAAAACCUCAAGAUUAAUCAGAUCUUCCUUAAGUCAGAAGCCCUCUGAUUCUCAGAUUGACAAGUGAAAAUAUGCAUACAACUUAUGCAUCAUAUUUCUGUAUUUAUACCUGAUGUAUAAGAUACAGUACAUAAUAAUUAGUAUAAAUUAUAUGAAAUAUAUGUUAUUUUGUAUAUAUGAUGUAUUAAGAUAUUAGUCUAUGAUUUUUCUGAAUUUCCCUAUUUUAUUGUUUUCACAUUUUUUGUAAAGGUGAUAUUUAGAGGGGUUACAAUUAUAAAUGUAAGGUAAUGAAUAGAUUUUUUUUGGAAUAGUGUCAACCUCUUCCUCAUUAUCUCCAAUGUCUCCCUGCCAACCACUCCCCCAGCCCAAGUUGUAAAGUUCAUUUCCAAUAUAUUGUCUAAUAAGUAUUAUUGUCACAUUGUUUUGUUAUUAUAUGUUAUGUCAUUUAUUUAUCUUCUUAAGACUUACCAAAUUUUUUAACCAAUGUAUAGGUGAACUCUUACAUUUUUACAAAAUAUUGUCCUACUGAUUAUAACUGUACCUGGAAAUAUAUCCAACCAAUCAUAAGGAAUAACUAGGGGGAAAAACUCACUCUGAAAGAAUUUCUAUGGUGGGUAUUGAAGUUUCCACUACUAA